rnacentral:rRNA from 1 species
GACGAACGCUGGCGGCGUGCUUAACACAUGCAAGUCGAGCGGUAAGGCCCUUUCGGGGGUACACGAGCGGCGAACGGGUGAGUAACACGUGGGUGACCUGCCCUCAGCUCUGGGAUAAGCCUGGGAAACCGGGUUUAAUACUGGAUAUGACUCCAUGACGCAUGUUGUGGGGUGGAAAGCCUUGUGCGGCUGAGGAUGGGCCCGCGGCCUAUCAGCUUGUUGGUGGGGUGAUGGCCUACCAAGGCGACGACGGGUAGCCGGCCUGAGAGGGCGACCGGCCACACUGGGACUGAGACACGGCCCAGACUCCUACGGGAGGCAGCAGUGGGGAAUCUUGCGCAAUGGGCGAAAGCCUGACGCAGCGACGCCGCGUGAGGGAUGACGGCCU